AACGCGAAGAACCUUACCAAGACUUGACAUGGAAAUGACCGCGCUAGAGAUAGCGUUUCCCUUCGGGGCAUUUCACACAGGUGGUGCAUGGUUGUCGUCAGCUCGUGUCGUGAGAUGUUGGGUUAAGUCCCGCAACGAGCGCAACCCUUACUAUUAGUAGCCAUCAGGUAACGCUGGGCACUCUAAUGGGACUGCCGUGGAUAACACGGAGGAAGGUGGGGAUGACGUCAAAUCAUCAUGCCCCUUAUGUCUUGGGCUACACACGUACUACAAUGGAUGAGAACAAAGUGAAGCGAGCACGCGAGUGUUAGCAAAGCACAAAAAAGCAUCCUCAGUUCGGAUUGCAGGCUGCAACUCGCCUGCAUGAAGUUGGAAUCGCUAGUAAUCGCGAAUCAGCAUGUCGCGGUGAAUACGUUCCCGGGCCUUGUACACACCGACAUA
rnacentral:rRNA from 1 species